rnacentral:rRNA from 1 species
AUUGAACGCUGGCGGCAUGCUUUACACAUGCAAGUCGAACGGUAACAGGGAGCUUGCUCCGCUGACGAGUGGCGAACGGGUGAGUAAUGCGUCGGAACGUGCCGAGUAGCGGGGGAUAACGCAUCGAAAGGUGUGCUAAUACCGCAUACGUACUGAGGUAGAAAGUGGGGGACCUUCGGGCCUCACGCUAUUCGAGCGGCCGACGUCUGAUUAGCUAGUUGGUGAGGUAAAGGCUCACCAAGGCGACGAUCAGUAGCGGGUCUGAGAGGAUGAUCCGCCACACUGGGACUGAGACACGGCCCAGACUCCUACGGGAGGCAGCAGUGGGGAAUUUUGGACAAUGGGCGCAAGCCUGAUCCAGCCAUGCCGCGUGUCUGAAGAAGGCCUUCGGGUUGUAAAGGACUUUUGUCCGGGAGCAAAUGCUGGUGGCUAACAUCCACCGGAGCAGAGAGUACCGGAAGAAUAAGCACCGGCUAACUACGUGCCAGCCGCCGCCGUAAAAC